rnacentral:rRNA from 1 species
AUGGCUGGUGAUUUCAAUGAGAUUUUACAUGCUGAUGAGAAAGACGGUGGCGCCGCACGUCCUCGGCGCUGUAUGCAAGUUUUUAACGACGCCUUAAGUGAUUGCGGCUUGGAUGAUCUUGGGUACACGGGCGACAAAUUUUCUUGGCGCCGUGGGCAGAUAAGAGAACGGCUGGAUCGGGCAACUGGAAAUUUGCAGUGGGCUAAUCUUUCCCCUGGUUUUAGUGUAAGUAAUGAGGAGUUUGAUAAAUCACACCAUAAGCCAAUUCUUAUUACUACAGAUCAUUUGUUAGACUUGCAACGAGGGGGCCAUCUGGACCUCGGAAGUUUGAAGCACGAUGGUUAG